rnacentral:tRNA from 1 species
GGCCGAGUGGCGGAAAGGCAGACGCUGGGGACUUAAAAUCCCCUGCCCGUUUCGGGCGUAUGGGUUCGACUCCCAUCUCGGCCA